rnacentral:rRNA from 1 species
CCCUUAGAUGUUCUGGGCUGCACGCGCGCUACACUGAUGCACUCAACGAGUUUACGACCUUGCCCGAUAGGGUUGGGUAAUCUUUUUAAAAUGCAUCGUGAUGGGGAUAGAUUAUUGCAAUUAUUAAUCUUCAACGAGGAAUUCCUAGUAAGCGCGAGUCAUCAGCUCGUGCUGAUUACGUCCCUGCCCUUUGUACACACCGCCCGUCGCUCCUUCCGAUUGAGUGCUCAGGUGAAUAAUUCGGACUGCAGCAAUGUUUGGAUCCCGAACGUUGCAGCGGAAAGUUUAGUGAACCUUAUCACUUAGAGGAAGGAGAAGUCGUAACA